GUGCAGACGGUUCCAGCGAGGUCGAACCUGCUGUGGUUCUGGCCUUUCCUACACAGUCUGCUACAGAACCGAGGGGCCGUUUGAGGCCCUGCUGGGGGUCCACCUGGCAGGGUUUUAGGUAAACCCCUGACAUGG